rfam:chromosome IV of strain GB-M1 of Encephalitozoon cuniculi (Microspora)
AGCAUGGUAGCGCAACGGAAGCGCGCUGGGCUCAUAACCCAGAGGUUGUGUGGUUCGAAUCCCACCCAUGCUA